AACUAAGAUUAACCACGGAAAGUUUAAUUCAUUGGCAAAUCAAAGAUUAUUAAAAGAAAGCUCCAUCAAUCAUUAAAUCAUAUACUAAUAAAAAAAAAUCAACAAUUGUAUAUAUAUAUAUAUAUAUAUAACCAAAACAAGCUCUCAAUCGUAUGGAUGCAAAAAAAACUUACUAUAGUGAGUUGUCACGAACAUCGAGCACGUUGAGGAUCGAUCGAUGACUCUCUCUAUAUAUAUAUGUGUGUGUGUCGCACAAUUAUCACGUAAUGUAACUCUCUCCUUUACUCUGGAAAGCUGAUAACCAUGUUCGUGAAAUGCAGGUUUAAAUAGUACUGAAAGACGAAUGAGAGGUUUUCCAAGAUUUGAGGUGCUUAUUUUUUCUGUCUCUCUUAAAUGUCUUGAAACAAAUCAAGGGCAUUUCUUGUCAUUUUGCUUAAAAAGUGAUCUGAUUAUAAAAUAAUGAAUAUAACGAGGGAAACUUCAAAGAGAAACGAAGUCGGUAUCUCCUUCGGUAACAAGUGAAAGCUUUUCUUCUCCUUCUCGGAUGCUUAAUCUUCUCUAACAAGCGACGAUUAUACUGUUUUGGGUGGCCCUAGAUUGACUGUAAAUUUAAGAUCUAUAUAGAGAGGUGAGUAGAUAGAUAGGUCUCUAUUUUUGACUUGCCACCCGUGUGUUUGAUAAAAUGCUGCCGUGGGUACAUAAUUAGUUGGAUGGAAUCUCAUUAAACAGAUUUCAAUGUGUUUCUCAGUUGGAAUUUUCAAUUGCUACAGUUGAGUAGAUAUACAUAUCUCUUUUUUUGACUUGCCACCCAUGUGUUUGAUAAAAUGCUGCAGUGGGUACAUAAUUAGUUGGAUGGUGCAGUGGGUACAUAAUUAGUUGGAUGGAAUCUCAUUAACAGAUUUUUCAAUUAGUUUCUCAGUUGGGUUUUCAGUUGGAGGUUUUCGGUUGCUAUUAGUGCUCUUUCACAAAAAAUACUGAUGGAAAGUGAAGAGGCAUUAGGAUUGAGGUGUUUACUGAGGAAGACGCUAUAAGUGCCCUUGCACAAGAAACAAAAAACCCAACAUUAGAGGCUGAAGCUACUCCUGCCCCUCCACAUGAAGGACAAGUAUUUGAAACUGAUGAAGACGCAUAUCAAUAUUAUUUCCAUUUUGCGAAGAAUACUGGAUUUUCAAUUAGAUGCGAAUGCUCUUUGGGGAGUAAAGAGCAUCCCACGGGAUUUUAUAGAAGAGAAUCUGGCUGCCAUCGUGCUGGUGUUCCCCGACCGCAGAAAGUAAUUGAUAUUGAGCGACAAAGUAAUCGAAGAUCAACUCGAUGAGGAUGUGAGGCAAGAAAGUUAGUAGCAAAGGACGUCAUUGAUGGCACCACUAAAUGGAGAAUCUCAAAAUUCACAAAGGGUCUUAACUACAAAUUAUUAUUAAAGAAUGGGUUAUGAUUUCUACCAGCAUAUCGUAACUUUCAAAUAGAUUAUGAAAAUCGUAUCUUGCUUCUUUUUAAAGCUGGAUGUACAGUGAAUCUUAUAAUGAGAGUGUUGGAAUUGGAAAAAAAAGGUGUGGAGCCUGGACAUUUACCAUUUAUGGAGUAGGAUGUAAAAAAUUUCAUUCAAAAUUAUAAGAGCAUUGGUCGAGAAAAUGAUGCUUCAGAACUUCUUAUGAUCUGCAAGACCUUGAAAGAUCAAGAAGCUGACUUUUGCUAUGAUUUUACAAUUGAUGAAAAUAACAAACUUGAACAUAUUGCAUGGUCAUUUGGUGAUUCAAUGCGCGCGUAUAGGGAGUUUGGUGAUAUAGUUGUAUUUGAUAUCACUGAUCUAUGACAUUUCACUUGGAGUUUGGGUUGGUGUGAACAAUCAUGGUAAUUUCAAAUUCUUCGGUUGUGUUCUAAGACGAGAUGAGAAUACCAGUGCUUUUGUGUGGGCUUUACAGGCGAGGGUGGCUACCAGUAUUUGGAAUCAGGUUGGAGAGGAAGCAACGGCACAAGAGAAGUAUCGAAACCCACAACAUGCACUAAUCUCAAAAUUGAGCUAACUCAGCCAAAUAAGAGCUUAAUUGAAGCAAUCCUGAGAUAAACCAAAGGAGGGAGCAAAGUGGAGAAAGAAAUGAGCAAAAAGGAAUCAAGUUGUGCAGCUGAAAAGUUCGAUCGAUCCAACUUAGAGUUCGAUCGAUCGAACAUCUAUGAUCGAUCACAGUACUUCUCAAUAGAUCCAACCUUGGCUUUUGCUGAAAUUCCAAGUUCGAUCGAUCGAACAUCACCUUCGAUCGAUCGAACCCUAUGUUGUCCUAUUCAAAUGAUUGAUCUUAUCCACAGCUGUACGCCUACCAACCACUUUUGUCUUUUUCCCCAUAAAUAUCUUGAAAAUAUCCCAGCCUUGUCAUUAUCCGGAGGAGUCAGACCACUUCGAUCGAUCCAAGAUGCAGUUCGAUCGAUCGAACCCAUUUUCGAUCGAUCCAAGUUAAGGUUCGAUCGAUCGAACUUCCUCCAGCGAGAAAAAGUUAAAGUCCAAUUCAUUUAUUCCGUCCUUCAUCCAAUCAUUGGAGAAUAUGCCUUGCACGACCACAGCUCAUCAUGGAGUGUAUUUGACCUACCUAUAUAAGGAAUAUGAUACACUUUUUGAAAAAGUCCCUUGUCACACAUUGAAAAUCAUCUUGGAGGCUAUUCUUGGAGAGGAAGAAGGGAGGAAGCUAGAGUAACCAUUGGAGGAGAUCUUCACCAACAAGGAGCAGCCAUGGAGUUAGCCCUUGAGGGUUGGAUCAUCACUACCAUGAGUGGCUAGACAUCCUCUUGGGGCUAGAGUUAGCCCCAAGCAUGCUUUAUAUACUCUAAUCUUGUGUAUUAUUGAGGGAUUAGUGUUGUAUGAUACAUCUUGAU